AAGACGCUCUGGCACCAAAUGUAAGGAGGGCAAAGAACAUGACGUCUCCUUGUUGAAGUUGCCAUGGGUUUUCCAAGGAAGGGGCAUUAGUAUGAGAUGUCUGUCUGUACCAGUGUCUAAUGAUGUCUAUCUCUACCAGAGAAAUCUAGGAGCAGGCACAGACUACCAGACUGGUUAUUCCAAAUAAAAGAUUGGUGAGUGAACAGCCAUCUUCUUCAGCUUGAAUGUGGCAUAAAGAAUGAGACAACUAUCUGAGCACAAUGAAGGUGGUGGAAGAGAAUUCUGAACAUUGGCAUCACGUGUUUGACCUCCUCCGUGAUUUCAACUGAAUUUCUGCACAGAAAC